CACGCGCUCCCACGGUAGCUCAGUGUUUUAUGUCUGCGUCACAACAAGUCGGCGGAGGGCGAGAGGCAGAGGGAUGAUGGCGUCUCUGGCGGCUUGAUUCCGGCGCAGCUCAGACGAAAUCCGCCUUAAUCAGCUUCGGCGGCUGGGAGAGGGCUGAGGUGUGAGGAGGUGAGAGAGCAACAGCGACGGGGACACGAUGAAACGGCGCCGCGGAGAAAGGACGGACAAACUCGUCUGAGAGAGACGGACGGACGGACGGACGCCUCCUCCUCCUCCUCCUCCUCCUCCUCUCUGCUGACGGUUUGACUGACACACACACACACAAACACACACACACACACACAGUCACAGAGAGGCGCCUGGCAAAGGCACAGACAUACAUGCACACCAGCCACUUUUUGCCACCCAGCACGCUGCGCGCCGGAGCCGGCCGGCGUUAAUUGGACGUCCCCGGCUGAUGAAGGCACUUCCACGUCCAGCCUGUCCAGGAAUCACAGUGACCCCGACGGAGAGGAGUUCGACUUGACAGGAUGGGGGGAGUCAGUGAGGGAGAUGAUGUGUUGGCUCGUUGGAGUGAUGGACUACUCUACCUCGGCAAUGUGAAGAGGGUCGACGGAGUCAAGCAGUGCUGUUUGGUGAGAUUUGAGGACAACUCUGAGUUCUGGGUGCUGAGAAAGGACAUUCAUUCGUUCUCAGCCGGAGUGGAGGAAGUUUGCUGUAUUUGCGACGCCCCGCCUCUUAAAGAACCC